GCGGGAAUAGCUCAGUUGGUAGAGCACAACCUUGCCAAGGUUGGGGUCGCGAGUUCGAGCCUCGUUUCCCGCU
rfam:Pasteurella bettyae CCTG 2042 contig00012, whole genome shotgun sequence.